ACGGUUUGGGUUGGGAGACGAGUUCUUGUGUGCGUAUGCAUGUGCAUUUUCAGAUAUCCAUGAAUAAUCUGUAUGACGGAGGGGCAUCUCACCCUGUGAGCGACUGCUGAACUUAUUUCAACUCAAUUUUGCAGAUUCAUCUGCUAUGAUAGAGUGUUCAUCUUUAUUACCCGUCUGUGAUUAGCUUGAUGCACAUGUUUACGCCAUCUAUCUAAAGUGAAAACUAGAGCGGAUGGCUUCCAGUUGGGAGGAUGUGUCUUCAUUUUAAUGGAAAAAUAGUAAUGGAGCUUUAUGUUAUACCUCUGCAGUUGACUUAUUUCCUUGUGUUUUAGAAAGGCUUGCAUUGUCUGAUUUUGUCGCAGAAGGUGCCAAUUAAAAACAGCUUAAAAUUUAUAUGCCAUGGUUUUAGGCUCAUGCAUACACCAAGUGCUUUGUUGUGCAAGUGCAGCUUUAGACACCAAUUCACAUAUCUCUGUGUUUGCCUGCAAGAUGUCUAGCCGUAAUAUGGUAGUGGAUUGAGAACGCUAAGGUCUUAGCGCAGCUCAACUUGAACGUGAACGGUCACACAACGAUAUCAACACUCUACUUUAUAACAUUAUCAUAUUCUGAUCUACAGGUUCAUGCUGCAUAUAGGUUAGCAUCCUCAUCCCUUACUCUAUUCAUCUUAUGGUAUUGCAUUUGAGUGUGAUGACUGUUUUCUCCAAUAUACUCUAAAGUAAUGAAGCCAGAUGAUGGAUGAGAUGAGGUGUUUGAUCUUUUGGUAGCAUGUGUUAAUUACUUUAUUGCUGUGUGGCCCUCCAAGAUUAGGAUGGAUCUGUGUGGAUAUGUUUCUUGUGUAAGCAAGCACUUGUUUUCUUUCUUCAUUUGAUCUUACAGCAGUGAUGUGGAGCCACAACAGAAUUGUACUUUUUCUUGGGUUCCCACCUCACCUUAUGUUUGUUUAUUCAGCUUCAGAUUAUUGGUUGUAACAGAU